rnacentral:lncRNA from 1 species
UCGACCCAACCCAACACAAUACCCAAAUCCAUUUCCUAACCUAAAAGCCUAACACAUAAACAACACACACAAGGCACACGAUACAGUGGAGGCGGAAAAUACACACAUAGUACAUAGAGACGCCUGGAAGAUGAAGGGUUGUGCAGCUUUGCUUUUUCUUGACAAAGCUCGUUGAUACACACACACAUAUAUGCUGAUACACACACCUAUGCACGCAUAUACAUAAUACACGCUUGGAAAAUACACAAGCCUGGAGAUAUGGAAGAGAGGACUGCGCAGCCUCUCAAGAAAGAAGAUCUCUCGAUCCCCGUCGCACCCUACCACCCCUGAAAUCGAACGAAGACCUGAAAUACCCUGUUUUCUUCGUGUAUUUUUGUGACUCUCGUCUCAGAAAAUCAGAGGCAUCGCUUUUCUGAAUUUUGUUCCAAAAUGGAGGUGAUUUGAUAUCGUGUACAAUUUGAAAUUUCUUGCACUAAUUCGAGGUUUCAUCGAGGUGUUGUCCGUUGGGUGCCAGUUCAAGGAUCGUCAUGGUCGAUUUUGAGUUCAUUGAGUUGCAGUCUUUGUUUAUUUUUCACGUUUAGGUAUGUGUUUUUGAUUGGAAACGUUGUAAAUGUCGUUGGACGGUCUAUUGCACUCUGAAAUAUGUAAUAGUUAUUUCUUUCAUCACGCUGCAAAUUUCAGUAUUUAAAUUUCCUUUUCCCUGUUUCAUUUCGUCACUUGUGUGAUGAUUAUAUGCUUCAGUUUCAGCUGCUGUCCAAUUAUACGAUGUUGUGUGAUUCGUCAAUCUACUAUUGUUAUCCUAUUUGCUAUUUUUUUGUUUGAUGUGUUUGUAUGGGAGAAAUUAAAAACUGAAAUGUUUAGGUUAUAGUUAAGUUUUCGGAUUAUAUCCGUUCAUCUUUGGCUUAUUGAUAUUGCAAUCAAUCUGUUCCUAAUUGUUUGUGAUGACACACACAUAUUUUCAUCCUUGU